CACUAUGCUUAGCCCUAAACAUUGAUUGUUUAAUACAUCAAACAUCCGCCCGGGAAUUACGAACAUCAGUUUAAAACCCAAAGGACUUGGCGGUGCUUUACAUCCACCUAGAGGAGCCUGUUCUAGAACCGAUAACCCCCGUUUAACCUCACCCUCCCUUGUUUUUUCCGCCUAUAUACCACCGUCGUCAGCUUACCCUGUGAAGGCCUAAUAGUAAGCAAAAUUGGUAAAACCCAGAACGUCAGGUCGAGGUGUAGUGCAUGAGAGGGGAAGAAAUGGGCUACAUUCACUAAUUAUAGUGAACACGAAUAAAGUAUUGAAAUAUACUUCUGAAGGAGGAUUUAGCAGUAAGUGGGAAAUAGAGAGUCCCUCUGAAAAUGGCUCUAAAGCGCGCACACACCGCCCGUCACCCUCCCCAAGCACCCAACACCCCUUAACUAAACUAUACCGACCGCUACAGGAGAGGAAAGUCGUAA
rnacentral:rRNA from 1 species